UCACAACUAUGCUACCCAUCCAUGGACUCUUAGGCUAAUUAUGAGACAUCUUUAACGGGAGGAGAAAGGCUUAUUUCAAGUACAAAAUUAGAAGGAGACAAUGAGAGGAUGUGGAGUUAAAAGUUAAUCACAACAGCUCCUGAAUCCCCAGCGUGAGUUCUACACCAGCUGAGGACACACACUCCUCCAAACAGACAGCGGGGUUGCACUGCAACACAGCAUCCAAGAAAGAAUCACUGUCUUCUGGGAAGAAGGAAUCACUGUCUUCUUGGAACACAUGCCAGAGCAGUUGUUUUCUUUCCCUUGAAAUGGGAAUAGUCUGUGAACGAGCAAAAGACUGGGGAGGCUCCUGAUGCCCUGUCUCCUUCUCCCCCUU